rnacentral:misc_RNA from 1 species
UGAAUGAUUACAUUGCUGGGCAAGUAAGUUGGUUAACCUUAUUUUGGAAUUCAUCAAAUCAUGUUUCAAUCAUCGUAAAUUUUUGCAACUGAAGAGCUUUCUGAUCUAAUUUCGUUUGCUCAAGUUUUAAUGCUAUAGGAAAGAUUGAAGGUUGUGUGGCUAAUGUGAGACCAUUAUUAUAUGCUCACUAAACACUAAUCAGUCCCCCUCAGCAUAUUUUGCUGCUACUUUCCUUGAUAACCUUGGGAGAACCACACUCCAGAAGCUAAUUAUGAGGUAGGAGAGCCUAAAGUUCAUAUAAACACCACGUCAAUGACACGUAAAUUUGAUGUGGAAUCCAAGUUAUAUGCCUUGAAAUGAGGCUCAUAAUUCUAUUCCUAAUUCUUGCAUAAAAUUAAAAAAAAAAAAAUACUUAAAUCAACAUAAUUUGGUUUCAAUUACACCCCAUAAAAAAGACCUGUGGUAAGUCAAUCAUUCACACAUGGUAGGAAUACAGAAUACCCUUCACUGUGUUCUUACUGUUAUGUAUGCAAGGAAUAUGCAUAGGGUCAUCUCCAACUACAUGAAUAGAUGGCAAUAGAAUGAUUUUCCUGCAUAUGUUUUCAUUGAAAUCAGCAUUUCAUUCUUCACUACCUCCCCAAUCUCGAACAAUCAUGAAUCUAUGAUAUUGCAGGAAGUAGGGAACGUGCCUUAUGUG